GAGAAAAGACAGUCUCUUCAGUAAGUGGUGCUUGGAAAACUGGACAGCUACAUGUAAAAGCAUGAAAUUAGAACAUUCUCUUAUACCAUACACAAAAAUAAACAAAAAACAGAUUAAAGACUUAAAUGUAAGACCAGAUACCAUAAGGCUCUUAGAGGAAAACAUAGGCAGAACACUCUGAUGUAAAUUGCAGCAUUAUCUUUUGGGAUUCACCUUCUAAUGAAAAUAACAACAAAAAUAAACUCAAAAGCUUUUGAACAGCAAAGGAAACCAUAAACAAAACAAAAAGACAACUCACAGAAUGGGAGAAAAAUCUUUACAAAUGAAGUGACCAACAAGGGAUUAGUCUCCAAAAGACACAAACAUCUCACAUAGCUCUAAAUGAAAAAAAGCAACCCAAUCAAAACAGACAGAUCUAAAUAGAUUAUUUCUCCAAAGAAGACAUAUAAAUGGCCAAAAAACACAUGAAAAAAUGCUCAACAUCAUUAAUUAUUAGAGAAAUGCAAAUUGAAACUAUAAUGAGAUAUCACUUUACACCAGUCAGAACGGCUAUUACCAAAAUGGCUACAAGCAACAAAUGCUGGAGAGGGUGUGGAAGAAAAGGGAAUCCCCCUUUUCUGUUGGCAGAAAUGUAAAUUGGUGCAGCCAUGAUGGAGAACAGUAUGGAAAUUCCUUAAACUAAAUAUAGAAUUGAGCAAUCCCACUCCUGGACAUAUAUCUGGAGAAAACCAUAAUUCCAAAAGAAACAUGCACCCCAGUGUUCAUUGCGCUAUUUACAGUAGUCAAGACAUGGAAAAAACCUAAAUGUCCAUUGACAGAGGAGCAAAUAAAGGAGAUGUGGUACAUAUAUAUGAUGGAGUAUUACUUGGUCAUUGAAAAGCAUGUGAUAAUGCCAUAUGGAGGGACCUAGAGAUCAUACUAAAUGAAGUCAGGCAGAAAAGGGAAAAAUAUCAUAUGAGAUCACGAACAUGUGGAAUCUAACAAUACGGAAGAAUUUGUUAAUAUAGCAAAAUCAGACUCAAAGAUUUCGAAACCAAGCUUAUAGUUACCAAAGUGGGUAGGGACAAAAUGAGAGGUUGGAACUGACAUACACACACUAUAAUAUAUGGAAUGGUAAUAAGAACCUACUGUGUAACACAGGGAAAUCUGCUCAAUAUUCUGUAGUGACCUAUGUGGAAAAAAGAAUCUGAAAAGGAAUGGAUACAUUAUAACUGAUUCAUGUUGCUGUACACCUGAAACUAACAUUGUAAAUAAACUAUACUCCAAUAUGGUUUAAUACAAAAUUUUAAAAUUCCUAAAUGCACCAAAAGCAUUCCAAUAAGUGAAAACUACCAAGAGUCACCACAAGCACAAUCAAUUAGCUUUCUAAAACAACCCUCAGUCACAAGUAUUAUUAUUCACAUUUCACAGAUGUGUCAUAGAUAUUUUUCAUUUCAGCAUGUUUUUAUUUUUUAACCAUGAAAUUUAAAUAAAUGAUUAGGAUGGCAUUUUCUAAUGGAAUCAACUAUCAAUUAUUCAUUCUGGUGGCUUGUAAAUUUCUACUUUCCCUGGAAGGGUUUUCCCACUUUCUGCAAUUAUACAAAAUAGCUUCUACUUUUGUGACUUUGUUAAAAUUUUUCUCUUUUUACAAUAUUUUAGUUAAUGGGAGAGAAAUCCUUUGAUGACAUUAACAUUUAUUGAGUGCCUACUAUAUGCAACUGUAAACAAAGAUAUUCACGUGUUUGUUUCAGAGUAAAAAUAAAGUCCACUGAAGGAUAAAAAUAGCAAAUUAUAGCCAGACCCUGUGCACAUGAAACAGAUAUGACAAAAGUAGGAAAAUAUAUGAAAAAUUUAAAAGUGGCAAAUGAUAUAUCAAAUUAUGUGGCUUUGAAUAAAAAUUGAACUAUCAAUCACAAAGGCUUCUGUGUCAACACAUCAAGUUAGAAUCCAAAUCUUUUAACAAUAAAAAAUUAAUAAUAACCUGUGGUAAUAUCAGGAAUGUACUUUUAAAAAACGGCAGACAGCAAAGUUAUUGCAAAGAAGCCACAGUAGGCAGAACAAGGAUGCAAUCUGUACUCUAUUAGGUGCUUGGUCUCAGGGAAAUACCUUCAUCUAUAUGAGUCUGGGAUCCAUUGUCUGCAAAAUGGAAAUGACAAUAACACUCACCUUGGAGCAUUGUUUUAGAAUGUGCCCUUGAAAACUAUAAAGAGGACGCACAUUGUGAGUAAAAAUUAGAGUAAUUUAAUUUACACUGACUGAGCAGAACUUUCCACUGCAUCCCAAGGAGGUUAUGUGAGAACCAUGAAGAUGAACCAGGCAAACAAACUCAAAAGGUUCAGCUAACAUCUGGCACCCAGCACUGCAGAGAUUUCCUUGUUCCAAUGGCAUGACUGUAACAUAAUUAAAUUCCCAUCUCCUCCUUAACAAGGCCAUUGAAACUUGCCCUCCCCCACAUUUAUUAUUACAGAUAUAAAAGAACAGUCCUUUAGGAAUGACACAAAAUCUGGCUUGUUUUUUAUUUUUUACAUUUAGGAAAGGUCUAUUUUUAUUCCUUCCCUUGAAGAUGCAGGUUUAGGGAGGGGGCCUGACUGGUGACACAAAUCUAGACAUGACUGCCAUUGUGACCAGUGAACAGGUGAUCUUCACUGGAUUGGGGAAAAUCAAGGAUGACUCUGGCAGAUCAACUCAAGUCCUUGGGUGGAAGGGAAGGACAAAUACUUGCUGAAAGCCCCCAAUUCUCUCAAAUACACGCACACACCUCCCUUUCCAAGAAAAUCAUUAAAAAAGAAUGACUUUAGAACUCAAUUCUGUGAUGCGGGAUGGGAGCACUACAGCUGAUUUACAUGCUGAGGGUGUGCCAUCUGUUUUGUCACAUCACUAACUGUAGCUUUAUAAUUUUGUAGCAGAAUUGUCACAGGGAAAAAUUGGAUUUUUAAGAAAGUAAUAACUAGAGACCAAUGUCAUUUAAAAUGGCACAGGAGGAGACCCCAUCUCAGCAGAUGGAGGGCUUCCUCUGAGCAAGCAUCUGGGACUCAGUGUUUGAAUCCAUCAUUGUCAGGAGAUGAAGGCUUACCAGUUUUAUUUCCAAUAGAUUUUCAUUGGCAAUGAGGUUGUGUGACCCUAGCAGCUACUAAGUGAAGUAUCCUCUGCCUCCUGGAAUAAUCACAACAGGGGUUUUAGUUUUUUUACGGGAAAAAAGUCUCUUGAAGGUUAAAGCUGGUUGAAGUGUAACUCUUCCUGAAAGUCUCAACACUUCUCUGUGCAUUUAAAAAUUAAGAUUUGAUUAUUAAAUUAUAAUUUCCAUAAUUUUUAAAUAACAUGAAGAUACAAACUUCAAACUUAAGUUCCGUGUCUAAUUUUACAAUGCACUUUGAUGAAGGCUUCUUGUGAAUACACUUCUGUGUUAAGAAUGAAUAUAUAUAUAUUUGAAAAGAAGUGUCAAGUUUAAGGCAAAUCUAUAGACACUGAAGCCAGGAGAUUAUUUCUAAAAAUUAUGUAUCACCUAUGAUUAGAAAAUAUGUGGACUCAAUCUAUGUGUGUCUUAGCAUCAGCUGACCAAGUGGAUGACCAACUAGUUCUUAAGCUUCUUUCCUGUUUAUGCAUAAAAAUGGAUGACAGUCAAAUCUAUUCCAUAGGAUUGUGUGGUUAAUUGGGCUUGUGUACAUUAAGCUCUCAGCUUUACAUCAACUUGACAUUUAACAAAAAUAUUGACAAACAUCAGCUGCUAUCAUUAUUAACUCACCCUAUUUCUUCAGAAGGACCAACUAUCCUGGGCAAAGAACUUAUUUUCUGAAUACAAUCUUCCCAUCUCCACAAAGUUCACGUGCUUUCUCCUAGAGCUAUAGAAUCAAGUUUAGAAGCUCUGUUAUAACAUGUGAGCAUCCAGAAUUCCACCAAGACCUCCCCUCCCAAAUCCUAGAACCCACUUCCCUGGAGUGUGGAGUUGGAUCCAGCUCCUCAUCAAUAAAAUGUGCAGUGAUGCUGGACAUGAUUCCCAAGAUGAUGCCAUGGUACAUGGCAAAGGGUAAGGGCUUUUGCACGUGUGAUAGAGGUCCCUCAUUUUGGCUUCAGAUUAUCCAAGCAAUCAUUCUGGGCAGCCUGACCACUCCCUCUCCUGAGCAUUUAAAAAGUGGUUUUGAUCACACAAAACACAAACAAAGGUGCUGUCCUGGCAGCUUUUAGGAACCAUACUGCCUUGUCUUGGGGAGGCCCAUGAGGCAUGGAGGCACAGGCAGCUGUUAAAUAGAUGAGGACUUUGGUUCCACCAAAGGACACACAAAGAACUGAAAAUCUGCCAACAGUAGCAGAGUUUUGAUGAGGACUGAGAGCUUCAGGUAAAAUCACAGACUUGCAGAUGCCUUGUGAAGCACUGGGUAAGGCCCAGCUAAUUCUUACCCAACUCCUGACCCACGGAAUUAUGGGUGGUAAAAAAUGUGUAUAGUUUUCAGCUUCCAAGUUCAUGGCCAAUGUAACCAGAGACAGAAAAAUAUAGAACACUUCUUUAAAUCAAGCCUAGGUCCCUGACUCAUUUUGGACUCAUUUUCUUUUCCAUUACAAGUAGUCAUGAAAUGCACUUGGGUCCUGAUAUUUGCAUAUCAGCUUCAGAGAACAUAGAACAGCUGAUUGUUGAGAUGGACUUAUUCUCCUGUGUUUCAUGCACUGCUUUCUUUUUUUCUUUAUGUCUUUUUGCCAUUUCUUGAGCUGCUCCCAUGGCAUAUGGAGGUUCCUAGGCUAGGGGUCUAAUCUGAGCUGUAGCUGCCAACCUACACCAGAGCCAUAGCAACGCAGGAUCCGAGCUGCUUCUGCAACCUACACCACAGCUCACGGCAAUGCUGGAUCAUUAACCCACUGAGCAAGGGCAGGGAUUGAACCUGCAACCUCAUGGUUCCUAGUUGGAUUCGUUAACCACUAUGCCACGACGGGAACUCCUGCUUUCAUUUUUUAAUGUCAUUUUUUUAAAUCCACCCUUCUUGAAUAAAAGUAUGUUUCCUUAUGUUUGAAACAACUGAAGAUAAUUUUUCCACUGUCUUCAUGGAUCUUCGAAGGAACAACUUUCCCUACUGUAUUAUUGCCUUUUCUCCAUUUGUUUUUAACCAUGCAGUGAUCUGCCCCCACAACCCACCCUCUCCCUAGAUACACACAUUUACUUAAUGAAUCAUCCUGAAUUUCUUUUCGCUGUGAUUACUGUUUGGGGUUGAUAACACCAUGGACAUUUUUUUCUACUGGCAAAAAACAAUGUCAAUAAAAUUCAGAAUGUUUCAGAUUGAGACCACCUAGCUCCCAACAUCUGCUCCCAGGAAGGGAGCUCACUCAGCCCUGCCCCCCUCUGCAGAGCACUCCCCUCCAGCAAAUCAAGAGAACAAAAUAAAACCAACUCUUAUGCAGCACAGUACCUAAUAGGCUCAUACUUUUUCUAUGUUCUUUAGAUAGAACUGAUUUUUUUUAAGCACUUAGGAUUUAUUUUAAUUUCUAACAAGUACUCUGAGUUUCUUUAAUUAAGUGAUCUGAAAUUACAUAACUCAUUUUAUAGCAAAAUCCAGAGCUGUUACUUUCUUAUUCAGUACCACUUUCAUUUAUACUUGUGUACUAUUCCUUGUAGCUAUACAUUUUGAAUGGUUUUGCAAUGCUCAACUUCAUCAUUAUUAAAUGCAAACAAUAGAUGGAUUUUAAAGCAGGUAUUUUGAUUUUAGUUCAUAUUAUGCUGCUUGAAAAUUCUGUAUGACUUGAUAUCUGAAAAUAAAAUAAAAUAAAAUAAAAUAAUCUUAGGUGCUCCUGAGCUGUGUAUGUAUAACUGUAGUUAUCAAAUAUUCAGCAGAGCAAUUAGUAAUUUUACCAAAAAGUGGCACUUAUUAAAAAAUAAAAUGCUUAAAAAGCAUGUAUUAUCUUUGGAAGGGUGCAGAAGCAUUAAAGAGUGACAUAGACACACCUACUGUUGCAAAAAUAGGCUUGUUUGUAUGCCAUGAGGUUCUAACUACAGGAAAAAGUUCCAGUUUGAAGACAGAUAUUAAGAAUCAAAGUGGAAGGAUGCAAGAGUAUCAAAAUAUUUCAUAUUCAAUCAAUAGUUUAACUGAAUUAGAUUUUAAGAGAAAAUGGAGAAAGUUCUAUUGGGGAAUUCUUUCAGCUGUUCAGUCUGUUGUAAAUGGCAUUCUCUUCUAGACACUUGGGCAGGGGAUGGGGGGGCAGGAAGAGGCAAGUACCUUAAGCUCUCAGACACCUUUAUGUAACAAGCAGUGUAAUCAAAGUUAGAAAGUAUAAAAUCAUCAAGUAAUACACUUUGAGUUCACGUCUAAUUUUUUAAGACAAAAUUUUGCUAUGUAAUUCUAAAAACAAUCAAAAUCAAAACAAAAAAUCUGAAACUAUGCCCCCAGUUAUAUAUGCCUGGUUAUAAUUUCUUGCAUAUCUCUGUAUCCUUCCAGAAAAAGUGAAAAUAUUUUGAGAUACAGCUAAGGCAUCAUCAUUUAACAACAUAGUUUUAUUGACAGUUUUGCCUUUGCUCACUGAGAUUUUCAACCUCCUUCCACUGCAGUUCCUACUCUAAAUUUGUCAGCAAGAUCUCAGGUUUUAUGAUACAUGAUCUGAACAGAAGAGGAAAGAGGAACAGGGAAAGAAGGAGCCAGGAGGGAGAGAAUGAGACCUAGACAGAGAAGUAUUAGGAUGGGGAGAGUUUUAAGGAUAAAACAGGGCUCCAGAAAGGGGGAAAGCAGAUGUCAAGAAGGGGUUUCAUCAUACAAAGUGAGGGGAAUGGAUGAAGGUAUUCCAUGCAAAU
rnacentral:lncRNA from 1 species